rnacentral:rRNA from 1 species
GACGAACGCUGGCGGCGUGCCUAAUACAUGCAAGUAGGACGCAGUUGCGAACGGGUGAGUAACGCGUAGGUAACUACCUAUUAGAGGGGGAUCACUAUUGGAAACGAUAGCUAAUACCGCAUACUAGUAGAUGGACAUGCGUUGUAUUAGCUAGUAGGUAGGGUAAUGGCAUACCUAGGCAACGAUACAGAGCCGGCCUGGUAGGGUGAUCGGCCACCCGGGGGCGGAGACACGGCCCAUACUCCUACGGGAGGCAUCAGUAGGGAAUCUUCGGCAAUGGGUGGAACCCUGACCAAGCAACUCCGCGUCAGUGAAGAAGGUUUUCGGAUCGUAAAGCUCUGUUGUUAAGGAAGCGGUACUUAACCAGAAAUGGACGGCUAACUACGUGCCAGCAGCCGCGGUAAUAC